CCGGAAGAAGCUAAAACAGCAUUAGAAUUUUAAUCUAAAGAUUAGGAAAUAUCCUCUACCGGU
rnacentral:tRNA from 1 species